UUGAGACAGGGUCUCACUAAGUCACACACAGGAAAAAAAAAGUUAUUAAAUUUUAAAAGUAAUGUCGAAAACUAACUUUUCCCCAAACCAUAAACCAACCACAACAGACUGGACCGAGAGCUGGGGUGAAAGUGGGGAGGCGUGGUAGCCAGGGUUUCCGGAACAAAGACCUCAGCCCCUGGAGAGGCUGACGGAUGGACAGCCAGCGGCAGUGAAGAAGCAGGCGCCCUGGACAGUGUGCGCCCCACGCCCCGCACAAGUCAGAGCGGGAGCGACGCCCCGACCUCCCCCGAGGCGGUCCUCACUUCCGCACUGCCACACGAACUGGUCAAGGACAAGGACAGCUCAGGGCGACUUAUUUGGGCCACACCUUAGUAGCGAUGAGCCCUGGACUCCAAGACCCCAGUGUCAGGCAGCUGUGUCUUCCGCAAUGAAGGAUCAAUAAAAGGAGUGGCGAAGAGGAAACUUCAGCCUCAGUCUGUUCCGCUGAGUGAGCAGCAUCUCUUUACCAAGGAGCAGCCCCUGGAGAACAGCAGCAGAAGAGAACUAAUCUAUCAGGUUGAGAUUCAUGUUCGCCCCAAGUACAAAUGUUUAAAAAUCCUCUAUUUAAAACUCACAGGUGAUUGGUGAUUUUUAUCAUUUUCCUGGGUGGUGGAAUGAAGAUUUGAAAAGGCCUAUAAAACACACUCACGAUCUUACAUUGGGAUGGUGUUACUGCACCCAGCUUGGAGAGCUCAGCCUGUUCUCACUUCUCAGCUCAUUCUUGGUUUGGGCACCUUUAGGAUCUUGGAGCUCUGGGAGAUGCUAAAAUAUUAACGCUAACGCUAAUGGUAAUAUUAAUGCUAAAAUGGUAUAAAUGAAAGAGUCCACAGACUUCCGCAGCAUGGCCACCAAUUUCAAAGGGAAAAUUGCUUACUGAAAUCAUUAUGUAUGUC